UAGUCAAGCGGCAUAGGAAAAACGGUUUAUUAAAUCAUACUAUCAACAUGCGGCGCCACGUGCGUUAUCUAUGCAGAUUUCUGUAAAUUUAGAGUACGUGGCACGGUCGUUAAUAGAAACUACUCAUGCCAUCUUUUGGUAGUGUGAUUUCAAGUUAAAUCCACGAAUUUAUCCAAAAAUCCAAAAUAUUAAGCAACCUUUGGUGCGCAAUGUCACACUACAUUCAACGGUGUCAAAAAGUUUUUUCAAUUAAAUGUUUCAAUUUCCAAUUUGAAUUAUUUUGCUACGUGUUGUGUUCGUGGUUUUCUCUCUUUAUUUUUAUUUGGAUUCGUUUGUUGGUGUUAUCUACUCCUAAAGUAAUCUCAAAAACAUUUAAGUUUUGAACUUUCGAAGGCUAAAAUUUGCUCUGGUGUGGACCUAUUAUACAUUUAAAAGGCAACCUACAACGUUUAUUAAACAACUUUUGGCUGGCUGGAACACAUGAUUCUCGAAACAGUGCAUCUCUCUACUUGUGAAAGCUAUCCAGAAACAAAUCGACUUGGGCACCAAAAAUAACUUCGAGAAUUUAAACCAAAUUUCAUUUUUCAAGUGGACAUCUAUGAUGGACACCGUUUAAGACUUCUACCUUGCACAUAGUGUCUUUUAUUUAAUACACGCGUUCAUUCAUUCAUUUGUACAAAAGCCACAAAAACGUAUCUUAACUCCCUCCUUUUUCCCGUUAAGUUUCAAGGAAACUUAGAACUCCUGAAUCCACCAAAGUGGAGUCCUUACAUUAAAAUCAGAAAAACCUCUUACGCAUAAUAAGUUCAUAUAAGUAAAUUUGUUGUAAAGUCAUCUACGUGAGCCUACUACCAACACGAAAACAUACAAGAAAUGUUUGCACAAACUAUUAAAAGCACUAUUUUUCUGUGAAAAUUGAAUUGGGCACAUGUCUAAAACUCCAAUAGUACCUUAUUAGGGUCCGUAUUUACUUAUUUAGUUCUUUAAUUUUUUUCCAAGUUACAAAAUAAUGUUAAAUAACCGUUUUUUGAGGGUGAGGAAGUCGCCAAAUUAAUAUGUGGAAGCCAAACACGACAUUUAUUUCUUAUAAUUGAUAUUUUCAUAAUUUGUGAAACGUUAAUUUAUUAAUAAAUUAUUUUCAUUCAUUGUA